AGGAGGAACAACCCCACUGGCGGCGGCCAGCUGUCCAGCCCUGGAGUCAGCUCCUGCAGUAACUCCCGCAGCUCCCCGUCCGCAGGGGAAUUGAUGCUCCGGGGACGG
rnacentral:pre_miRNA from 1 species